rnacentral:tRNA from 1 species
GCCGAAUUAGCUCAGUGGUAGAGCAACCGCCUUGUAAGCGGUAGGUCGUGGGUUCAAUCCCCACAUUCGGCUCCA